UGUAGUGUAACAAAGUAUGAACAGUAAGGUUUUUACAUACAGUAGUACAUAUUACAUACGUACAUAACUUUUUUUUACAGGAAUUUCCAACCAAGUUUGAUUAUGUACAUAUGUACAUGUUAUAAACCACUGUACGUAUGGUUACUGUAUGUAACUUACUAAACAUACAUAACAUGACUUAACUUUGAUACUUUUUGGUACAUUCCAGAAAACCAGGACCCCCUCCAUGAUGCAGGCUAUGGGGCCACAUAAAACUUUGUCCAGGGUUACUACAUAACAUAAAGAACCCCCUGAAUGAUGUAGGCUAUGGGGCCACAUAAGACUUUGUCCAUCCAGGGUUACGAUGAAUGCAAAAUUUAAACUAAAGAACCCCCUGAAUGAUGUAGGCUAUGGGGCCACAUAAGACUUUGUCCAUCCAGGGUUAUGAUGAAU